GACAGAGGGUGCAAACGUUGUUCGGAAUUACUGGGCGUAAAGCGCGUGUAGGCGGCUUGGCAAGUCGGGUGUGAAAGCCCUGGGCUCAACCUAGGAAGUGCACUCGAAACUGCUUCGCUUGAGUGUCGGAGAGGAAAGCGGAAUUCUCGGUGUAGAGGUGAAAUGCGUAGAUAUCUGGAGGAACACCGGUGGCGAAGGCGGCGUUCUGGACUGCAACUGACACUGAGAAACGAAAGCCAGGGUAGCAAACGGG
rnacentral:rRNA from 1 species